UACGUAGGUGGCGAGCGUUGUCCGGAUUUACUGGGCGUAAAGGGCGCGUAGGUGGCCCGGUCAGUUCGUGGUGAAAGCGCGGGGCUCAACUCCGCGUCGGCCAUGAAUACUGCUGGGCUUGAGCACUGUAGAGGCAGGCGGAAUUCCGGGUGUAGUGGUGAAAUGCGUAGAGAUCCGGAGGAACACCAGUGGCGAAGGCGACACGCUGGGCCGUACCUGACACUGAUGCGCGACAGCAUGGGGAGCAAACAGG
rnacentral:rRNA from 1 species